UUGAGGGUGCUUAGUGAUUAAACGGUGUCCAUGUAAGCUUUUAAGGACUGUUUCAGGAGACCAAGCUUAGCAGUGCUUGCUUGAAAAAAAAUUCCAGCUGAGAAUGUGUUCUCCUUCUUGGUUUCCAUGAACAAGAGGUGGCAGCUGAGGCCACAACAUUCUGGUGUUCUGUCACUCUUCUUUUGGUGGCCAAGAAACACAAUUGCUCCCUCAAUAACCCUCACAUGAUAUCCAUAUCGCGACCCAGAAACUGAUGAUAACUAGAGCCACGGAUCGAGAGAAAGAGGACACAUACACCAUCAAGAAACAACUUUGAAAAGCCUACAUGGACACCGUCAAAAGUCAAAUCAAUGAUAAAUGGAGGUGUUGACGCCAAAAGGGUGGUGGCAGCAGAGGAGGUGGAGACGGCGGUGUCGCGGCUUCAUUACUAUGGUUUAAUCAAUGUUCAUGUUUCUUGUAGGAAGGGUUUGAACUUUGAAUAUUGCUUACACAGAUAGAAGGAGUGGUGCGGCAGAUCAAGAGAAUCAGGUAAAUGACUUGAAUCUAACUUUUAUUAUUAAUGAUCAUGAGUUAAAGAUUAUGAAUUUCUUAACCAAGUCUAGCACUAUCUUAGCUUUUUAUACUGUAUUCUCAAGCUAUAUUUGUUUCUUUUUAUAUAUGACCAUGGGGAGACUUAGAAGUGUCAAAUGCUUACGAAGGGAGAAGAGCCUGCUGAAUUGAGGAGAUCACGUAAACUUUUCUCCGAUAUAGACACUACACACAUUGUAAUUUUUUAACUUCCCAAGGACAUUUAGUAACGGUGGAAAAAUUUAAGUGUGUAUAAUCCCAGGUGAGAAAAAAAAUACAUUGUUCGUGUUACAUACUGUAACUAUGUGUAUUUGUGUUCUACAAUCAAGAAUUAAUCUUUCUAUCAGAGAUAAUCAGGAAUCUAUGUAAUUUCAAUGCGUUUUCCGGGAAUAUGCAUCCUUCUUCCCAAAACUGAGAGUGAAGACAACUAAACGCAGAGAGAAAAAACCUUUAUCACCAUGAAGCUCGUUUGGUCUCCAGAAUCAGCCUUGAAAUCCUACAUCAACACUCUUAAAUCAGUAAGAACCAUUAACACCAUGAACCAUCAAUCACAUAAUUAAUAAUUUUCUUUCUUUAGCUUCUUCAUUUUCUUUUAUUCUUUCUUUAUCACUUCUUUCUUUUCCUCUUGAUAUGCACAAAUGAUAUACGUAAUUUGUCUGCCAUUGUUAUAACUUUUUCCUUUUAGAUCUAUUUUCUUGUCCUUGCAUGUGUAUAUAUGGUUAUGCAACAAAGUAAUUGAUAUACUUAUUAAAUAUGUUAGAUUUUACACAAAAGAUUCUUACCAAAUAUCCGAUGGAUAUGAAAGAUAUGAAUGUCUCCGGUGAAUUUGUAUAUGAAUUAUUCACUAGGGUUUUGAGGGAGCGUGGUGCUACCAUCUGGGAAGCUAUUUGGAUAGUUUUGAAGAUAAAGUUAGUUACGAUCAGAUGUCCACUUGUUUUUACAUUCAUUUAUUGUUUUACAUUGCUUAGAGAAUAUAUAAGGCACUCGUUGUAUGAAAAGAUUAUUGUUCUAGGUCUAGGUUUCACCAGUUUCUUACCUAUAAAAUUGUGAAGAGUUCAAUCCUAUUUAUAAAUCAACAGUAAUCCAAUUUUGUGCUUCCAUUAAUGAAAACAC